rnacentral:misc_RNA from 1 species
CAGCCGCGUAAUUCCAGCUCCAAUAGCGUAUAUUAAAGUUGUUGCAGUUAAAAAGCUCGUAGUUGAAUUUCGGGAUUGGCGCAUCGGUCGUGCCUCACGGGGUAUGAACUGGUGCAGUCAAUUUCUCACCUUCUGGAGAACCGCGAUGUCCUUAAUUGGAUGCCGCGGGGAACCAGGACCUUUACUUUGAAAAAAUUAGAGUGUUUAAAGCAGGCAUUUUUGCUUGAAUACAUUAGCAUGGAAUAAUAAAAUAGGACGGCAUGGUUCUAUUUUGUUGGUUUCUAGGACCACCGUAAUGAUUAAUAGGGAUAGUUGGGGGCAUUAGUAUUCAAUUGUCAGAGGUGAAAUUCUUGGAUUUAUUGAAGACUAACUACUGCGAAAGCAUUUGCCAAGGAUGUUUUCAUUAAUCAAGAACGAAAGUUAGGGGAUCGAAGACGAUCAGAUACCGUCGUAGUCUUAACCAUAAACUAUGCCGACUAGGAAUCAGACGAUGUUAAUUUUUUAAUGACUCGUUUGGCACCUUACA